GGAGAGGUGGCCGAGUGGUUUAAGGCGAUGGUCUUGAAAACCAUUGUACGGUAUCGCCGUACCGCAGGUUCGAAUCCUGUCCUCUCCG
rnacentral:tRNA from 1 species